rnacentral:rRNA from 1 species
AUACGGGGGGUGCAAGCGUUAAUCGGAAUUACUGGGCGUAAAGCGCGCGUAGGCGGUUAGAUAAGUUGGAUGUGAAAGCCCCGGGCUCAACCUGGGAACUGCAUUCAAAACUGUUUGACUAGAGUAUGGUAGAGGGAAGUGGAAUUCCAGGUGUAGCGGUGAAAUGCGUAGAUAUCUGGAGGAACAUCAGUGGCGAAGGCGACUUCCUGGAUCAAUACUGACGCUGAGGUGCGAAAGCGUGGGGAGCAAACAGGAUUAGAAACCCCAGUAGUCC